rnacentral:rRNA from 1 species
UACGUAGGGUGCAAGCGUUGUCCGGAAUUAUUGGGCGUAAAGAGCUCGUAGGCGGUUUGUUGCGUCGGCUGUGAAAUCCCGAGGCUCAACCUCGGGUCUGCAGUCGAUACGAGCAAACUAGAGUGUUGCAGGGGAGACUGGAAUUCCUGGUGUAGCGGUGAAAUGCGCAGAUAUCAGGAGGAACACCGGUGGCGAAGGCGGGUCUCUGGGCAACAACUGACACUGAGGGACGAAAGCUAGGGGAGCGAAUGGG